rnacentral:misc_RNA from 1 species
GAUGAAGAACGUAGCGAAAUGCGAUACGUAAUGUGAAUUGCAGAAUUCAGUGAAUCAUCGAAUCUUUGAACGCACAUUGCGCCCGCCAGUAUUCUGGCGGGCAUGCCUGUUCGAGCGUCAUUACAACCCUCAGGCCCCCGGGCCUGGCGUUGGGGAUCGGCAGAAGCCCCCUGUGGGCACACGCCGUCCCUCAAAUACAGUGGCGGUCCCGCCGCAGCUUCCAUUGCGUAGUAGCUAACACCUCGCAACUGGAGAGCGGCGCGGCCAUGCCGUAAAACACCCAACUUCUGAAUGUUGACCUCGAAUCAGGUAGGAAUACCCGCUGAACUUAAGCAUAUCAAUAAGCGGAGGA